rnacentral:rRNA from 1 species
GCGUUGUUCGGAAUUACUGGGCGUAAAGCGCGCGUAGGCGGCUUUGUAAGUCAGAGGUGAAAGCCUGGAGCUCAACUCCAGAACUGCCUUUGAGACUGCAUCGCUAGAAUUGUGGAGAGGUAAGUGGAAUUCCGAGUGUAGAGGUGAAAUUCGUAGAUAUUCGGAAGAACACCAGUGGCGAAGGCGACUUACUGGACACAUAUUGACGCUGAGGUGCGAAAGCGUG